rnacentral:tRNA from 1 species
GGUUCCGUGGUGUAGUGGUUAUCACGUCUGCCUUACACGCAGAAGGUCCCGGGUUCGAACCCCGGUGGAACCU